rnacentral:lncRNA from 1 species
GAGCAGCCCAGGGAGAGUCUCUGCGUCCUCCAGCCCCCGCUUCCCUUCAUGUCGGAGGUCCUAAGCCCGCAGCGAAGUCCGCAAAGAGCUUUCCCCGACGCCUACGAGACCGGAAGUGCCUGGGCCCAGGUGGAGGAAGGACCCGCGUGGCCGCCUCCGCGCUCUCCCUGGGGAGCACCAUUGAAGGAGAAUUAGACAAACUGGAGUCUACUGAGAUGAGGCUGUUGGGAAUGGCCCUGGUACCACAUCCUGAGCAGGGAUGGCCGAUGGAAUGGGGAGAAGACUCAGGUGGGGCUUGAGUGUGUCCUCUGAUGACUGAAGAGCCUUGGGAGCAAGCAUCCUUCCUGCUACUGUGUGUUUGCUGGUUCCAAUGAUACAUAAUUUGUGCUUUUCGUAAUUAAAGUAUUAUCCUGUA